rnacentral:rRNA from 1 species
GACGAACCGUGCGAACGUUGUUCGGAAUCACUGGGCUUAAAGGGCGCGUAGGCGGGUUCGCAAGUCUGUGGUGAAAGCCUCCAGCUUAACUGGAGAAGUGCCAUGGAUACUGCGCAUCUUGAGGAGGGUAGGGGCGUCUGGAACGGUCGGUGGAGCGGUGAAAUGCGUUGAUAUCGGGAGGAACACCAGUGGCGAAGGCGACUACCUGGCCUGUUCUUGACGCUGAGGCGCGAAAGCUAGGGGAGCAAACGGG